rnacentral:siRNA from 1 species
CAAACUUUGGAAAACGGUGCUUA